rnacentral:lncRNA from 1 species
UCUUUCUUCAUACUUAUUCUUUGAAGAAGAGAGGAUGAGCUAAUGUGCUAAUACUUUUAGAUGGCUUGAAUGACAAUAUCACUUAUCAGAUCCACUUCAUCUGCUUUAACUCUGGCUGUUUCUUUGGCUGGGUGUAAAAUUAAAUUUAGUCUCUAGUAAUAGAAAUACUAUAUUUUAUGAGGUUUAUUAAGAUGAUUAGAAAUCAAGGAUACAAAAUAAUAAAACCACGUGUCUAUGGCUGAUUAGUCCAUUCACAUCUUACUCACUACAUCUUGCCAUCUCCAAGUAGAGGAAGAGAGAGGCCGAGGUAGGUGUUACAGCCAGUUUAAAUACAAAUUGUGAACUCGCCCAGGUGGGGACUCAGGUGAGAUUAUAGGAAAUUCUAGGAAGUACCAAAGACUUCUGGGGAUUGAAGUCUGGGGUUUAAAUCUCCAUUUUACAUGGGUAAGUAGAGAGGCAGUGUGAUAUAAUGGCUGACUUGGAAUUAGGAGGUCCUGAGUUCAAGUUCUACCUCUGAUUCGUACUCUGAUUCUAGGCAAAUUGCUUAAUUUAGUGUUGCUCAGUCAUUUUUUAGUCAUAUCCAAUUCUCCAACCCUAUCCCUAUUUGAAGUUGUUUUUUUUUUUUGGCAAAGAUACUCAAAUGGUUUGCCAGUUCCUUUUCCUUUUUUGUUUUUUUUUUAAACAGAUGACAAAACCAAGGAAAAUGAGAUUCAGGGUCAGAUAUUGAAUUUAAGAAGACGAAUCUUUCUGACUCCAGGUCUGGAGAUCUAUCCAUCAUACCACCUAACUGCCCUAACUUCUCAGUAACCCUACAGAGACUUCUGGAAGCCUCUGGAUGUCCAGCUGAACCUGAAGUUCCAAAGAAAACCCAACCAGAGAUUUCCAUGAGACAACCCUAACCUGCCAUGCUAAGGUAAGUCAAGAAGAAUAUUCACUUGUGUGUCCCACACUAUAAUAAGCCUCAAAGAACAUUGACUUG